CUUCGGAUANAGAGACCGGCGCACGGUGNGUAACGCGUAUGCAAUNUACAUAUUACAGAGGNAUAGCCCAGAGNAAUUUGGAUUNAUACCUCAUAGUAUAUAGACCUGGCAUCACGAUUAUAUUAAAGUCACAACGGUAAAAGAUGAGCAUGCGUCCCAUUAGAUAGUUGGNAAGNUAACGGCUUACCAAGGUUACGAUGGGUAGGGGUCCUGAGAGGGAGAUCCCCCACACUGGUACUGAGACACGGACCAGAUUCGAUACGGGAGGCANCANUGAGGAAUAUUGGACAAUGGGCGCAAGCNUGAUCCAGCCAUGCCGCGUGCAGGAUGACGGUCCUAUGGAUUGUAAACUGUUUUUAUACGAGCANGAAACACUGCUUCGUGAAGCAGCUUGACGGUAUCGUAAGAAUAAGGAUCGGCUAACUCCGUGCCAGCAGCCGCGGUAAUACGGAGGAUCCAAGCGUUAUCCGGAAUCAUUGGGUUUAAAGGGUCCGUAGGCGGUUUGUUAAGUCAGUGGUGAAAGCCCAUCGCUCAACNNUGGANCGGCCAUNGAUACUGCCAGACUUGAAUUAUUAGGAAGUAACUAGAAUUNGUAGUGUAGCGGUGAAAUGCUUAGAGAUNACNUGGAAUACCNAUUGCGAAGGCAGGUUACUANUNAUGGAUUGAC
rnacentral:rRNA from 1 species